ACCACUGAACCAUGAAAAUGAGGUCAAGGUCACAUGACAUCUGCCCGCUAGACAUGUACACCUUACAACCAUUCCAUACAACAAAUAUAGUAGACCUAUUGCAUAAAAUAUGAGAAAAACAGACCAAAACACAAAAACUUAACUGUAACCACUGAACCAUGAAAAUGAGGUCAAGGUCAGAUGACACCUGCCAGUUGGACAUGUACACCUUCCAGUCCUUUCAUACACCAAAUAUACUAGCCCUAUUACUUAUAGUAUCUGAGAUAUGGACUUAACCACCAAAACUUAACCUUGUUCACUGAUCCAUGAAAUGAGGUCGAGGUCAAGUGA
rnacentral:lncRNA from 1 species